rnacentral:rRNA from 1 species
UACGUAGGGCGCAAGCGUUGUCCGGAAUUAUUGGGCGUAAAGAGCUCGUAGGCGGUCUGUUACGUCCGCUGUGAAAACCCCAGGGCUUAACCCUGGGCUUGCAGUGGAUACGGGUAGACUAGAGGCAGGUAGGGGAGAAUGGAAUUCCCGGUGUAGCGGUGAAAUGCGCAGAUAUCGGGAGGAACACCGGUGGCGAAGGCAGCUCGCUGGGACGGUACUGACGCUGAGACGCGAAAGCGUGGGGAGCAAACAGG